GGGGAUGACUUGGAUUCGACGCCGGUGACGAAACCUUGGGUGCAUGCCGAGAUGGCAGCGAAUCUCGUUAAUCCAAAGCUGUAUUUUAUUAGUUGCCAACGACGACAACUACGGUGCCCAACUCGCUGCGUAAGCAGCUUGUGAAGCGCUAACUAAGGGUUCGUCCCUUAGCAGUCUUCAGCAAGGUUCCAGUAUCGCGCUGUAGACUGUUAUACAGAACUGGAUCGCCGCAAGCCAUACUCGUGGGUAAGCGGUUAAACAACUUACGGGAUCGCCCUAUACGUCCUGACCGCCGGGCUGUAAUGGGUUAAAUCAAUAGACGGAGCUAAGCAUGUAGAGCCUCUGGCAGAGUGCUGACGGACGCGGGUUCGACUCCCGCCAUCUCCACCA
rnacentral:tmRNA from 1 species